rnacentral:rRNA from 1 species
AGCCCGUUAAAGGGUGGUGGCGUACUUUUUGUAGAACGGUCCGGCGAGUUAUAGUCACUAGCGAGCUUAAGGUAUUCAGUACCGGAGGCGUAGGGAAACCGAGUCUGAACAGGGCGUAUGAAGUUAGUGGCCAUAGACCCGAAACCAUGUGACCUAGCCAUGAGCAGGAUGAAGUGGAGGUAAAGCUCCAUGGAGGUCCGAACGCACGUUCGUUGCAAUGACCGGCGAUGACUUGUGGCUAGCGGUGAAAUUCCAAUCGAACUUGGAGAUAGCUGGUUCUCCCCGAAAUAGCUUUAGGGCUAGCGUUGGGAAUGAGUUUAGCGGAGGUAAAGCACUGAAUGAGCUAGGGGGCGCAAGCUUACUGAACUCUAUCAAACUAAGAAUGCCGCAUAAAUGCUUCCCAGCAGUCAGACUGCGAGUAAUAAAAUCCGUGGUCAAAAGGGUAACAGCCCAGACCCACAGCUAAGGUCCCCAAUACAUGCUAAGUGGAAAACGAUGUGAGAUUGCAUAAACAACCAGGAUGUUGGCUUAGAGGCAGCCACUCGUUCAAAGAGUGCGUAAUAGCUCACUGGUCGAGUGAUCUUGCGCGGAAAAUUUAACGGGGCUAAGCGUAUAACCGAAGCUUGGGAAUGUCGAAAGACAUUGGUAGGGGAGCGUCGUGUAUGGGGUGAAGUCGCAUCGGAAGGAGCGGUGGACUGUACACGAGUGAGAAUGCCGGAAUGAGUAGCGAGAAUUAUGUGGGAAUCAUAAUGGCCGAAAAUCUAAGGUUUCUUGGGGAAGGUUCGUCCGCCCAAGGUAAGCCGGGAGCUAAGGCGAGGCCGAAAGGCGUAGUCGAUGCACAUACGGUUGAAAUUCCGUAGCCACCUUAUCGUUAAAAGCUGACACAUAGAGAUAGCCGAACCCGGGCGUUGGUUGACCCGGGCGAAAGGGACCGAACUACAGUAGGGAAGUCGGCGAUGCUCUGUGGCGAGAAAAGGCGAAGAUAGGGUGCCCGUACCGCAAACCGACACAGGUAGAUGAGGAGAGAAUCCUAAGGCCAACGGGAGAAGGGUUGUUAAGGAACUCGGCAAAUUGACCCCGUAACUUCGGGAUAAGGGGAGCCUCCUACGGGAGGCCGCAGUGAAUAGGCCCAAGCAACUGUUUACCAAAAACACAGGUCUCUGCUAAAUCGAAAGAUGACGUAUAGGGGCUGACGCCUGCCCGGUGCUGGAAGGUUAAGAGGAGAGCUUAGCGCAAGCGAAGGCUUGAAUUUAAGCCCCAGUAAACGGCGGCCGUAACUAUAACGGUCCUAAGGUAGCGAAAUUCCUUGUCAGGUAAGUUCUGACCCGCACGAAUGGCGUAACGAUUUGGGCGCUGUCUCAACAGCCUACCCGGCGAAAUUGUAGUACCGGUGAAGAUGCCGGUUACCCGCAACUAGACGGAAAGACCCCAUGGAGCUUUACUGCAGCUUAAUACUGAGAUUCGGUAAUUCAUGUACAGGAUAGGUGGGAGACUUAGAAACAGGGUCGUCAGGCACUGCGGAGUCACCCUUGGGAUACCACCCUUGGAUUGCUGGGUUUCUAACCUGCGGCCAUGAAUCUGGUCGGGGGACACUGUUAGGCGGGCAGUUUGACUGGGGCGGUCGCCUCCUAAAAAGUAGCGGAGGCGCUCAAAGCUUGGCUCAGCAUGGAUGGAAAUCAUGCAAUGAGUGUAAACGUAUAAGCCAAGUUGACUGCGAGACCGACGGGUCGAGCAGGUACGAAAGUAGGAGUUAGUGAUCCGGUGGUAUGUGAGUGGAAAUGCCAUCGCUCAACGGAUAAAA